GCCAGGAUGCCUCAAGAGGCGGAUAUUAACCUCCCAGGACGGAAGUUCCGGAGCCUUCAAACUCUCGGGGAAGCAACUCGGCAGCGGACCAAGAUGGCGGCGCCCUGUGAGGGACGAGCGUUUGCCGUAGGGGUUGAAAAGAAUUGGGGUGCAGUAGUUCGCUCCCCAGAAGGGACCCCCCAGAAAAUCCGGCAGCUGAUAGAUGAGGGGAUUGCCCCGGAAGAGGGAGGCGUGGACGCGAAGGACACGUCUGCUACAUCCCAGUCAGUUAAUGGAUCACCCCAAGUGGAACAACCUUCAUUGGAAUCUACAAGCAAAGAAGCCUUCUUUAGCAGAGUGGAAACAUUUUCUUCUUUGAAAUGGGCAGGUAAGCCCUCCGAGCUGUCUCCACUCGUCUGUGCAAAAUAUGGCUGGGUCACAGUGGAAUGUGAUAUGCUCAAGUGCUCUAGCUGUCAAGCUUUUCUCUGUGCCAGUUUACAACCAGCUUUUGACUUUGACAGAUAUAAGCAACGAUGUGCUGAGCUGAAGAAAGCCUUGUGUACUGCCCAUGAGAAGUUCUGUUUCUGGCCAGACAGCCCAUCCCCAGACCGAUUUGGGAUGUUGCCCCUGGAUGAGCCUGCUAUUCUUGUUAGUGAAUUCCUAGAUCGUUUUCAAAGCCUUUGUCACUUGGACCUCCAGCUUCCUUCCCUAAGGCCGGAGGACUUGAAAACUAUGUGCUUGACAGAAGACAAGAUCAGUCUUCUCCUACACUUGCUUGAAGAUGAACUUGAUCACCGAACUGAUGAGAGAAAAACUACAAUCAAAUUAGGCUCAGACAUCCAAGUCCACGUCACUGCCUGUAUUCUCUCUGUGUGUGGCUGGGCGUGUAGUUCCUCUUUGGAAUCCAUGCAGCUCUCCCUGAUAACAUGUUCACAGUGUAUGAGGAAGGUGGGGCUCUGGGGCUUCCAGCAGAUUGAAUCGUCCAUGACUGACCUGGAUGCAUCCUUUGGCCUGACCAGCUCCCCCAUCCCAGGCCUUGAGGGGCGACCAGAGCGCUUACCUCUGGUGCCUGAAUCUCCUCGGAGGAUGAUGACCCGGAGCCAGGAUGCCACUUUCUCCCCAGGCUCAGAGCAGGCUGAAAAGAGCCCUGGUCCCAUUGUCUCUCGAACUCGGAGCUGGGACUCUUCCAGUCCUGUUGACCGUCCUGAGCCAGAGGCUGCUAGCCCCACCACCAGAACUCGCCCAGUGACCCGAAGCAUGGGAACAGGAGACACCCCUGGCCUGGAGGUACCAUCUAGCCCUCUGCGGAAAGCCAAGCGAGCUCGCCUCUGCUCCUCCAGCAGUUCGGACACAUCUUCCCGAAGCUUCUUUGAUCCCACCUCUCAGCAUAGAGACUGGUGCCCUUGGGUGAAUAUCACACUUGGCAAAGAAAGCAGGGAGAAUGGUGGAACUGAACCAGAUGCCAGCGCCCCAGCAGAGCCAGGCUGGAAAGCAGUGCUGACCAUCCUCUUGGCGCACAAACAGUCUAGCCAGCCAGCUGAAACGGACUCCAUGGUGAGAUAAGCCACUGCCUUGUGUGUGGGCAGCACUUGCUGUUUAUGGGAGGAGGAGCAGAGGCUGGGCCUAUAAUUAGCACCCCGCCUGCCUUCAGCUUUCAUACGUCAAGUUAUUUGGGUUUUUUUGUUUGUUUGUUUGUUUGUUUUUUGAGAUGGAGUCUCGUUCUUGUUGCCUAGGCUGGAGUCCAAUGGCAGGAUCUCAGCUCACUGCAACCUCCACCUCCUGGGUCAAGCGAUUCUCCUGCGCCUGUAAUCCCAGCUACUGGGGAGGCUGAGACUGGAGAAUCACUUGAACCCAGGAGGCGGAGGUUGCAGUGAGCCGAGGUUGCACUCCAGCCUGGGCUUCAGAGAGAGACGCUGUCUCAAAAAAAUAAAUAAAUAAAAAUAAAUGUAUAUUAGUACCCUUAGUAAAUGUGCAGGUGAAGGUUUUCCAAGUUUUCACAGAAAAAAAAAUCCGCAUUUCUCUGCCUAGAUCUUCAGGAACUAGUACAUUGGCAGUUUUCAAUAAGACUCCUCUCUGUCACUGCCAUACGAAAAAGAAAGCCUAUGGGUUUUGUUUUUGUUUUGUAGUGGGAAAAGUUGGCCUCAUAAUUGGCCCUGGAUUCCAGGACUUUUUUUUUCGGUAGUGUGUCUUAACCUUCUGACAGCUGCUGUGACGAAGCUAGAAAGCUUAAUGAGACUGUGUGGUAAAGGAUCCUGAUGUUCGAAAAAGAAAAAGUAUAUACCGAGGCCAGGCACAGUGGCUCAUGCCUGUGAUCCCAGCACUUUGGGACGCUGAGGCAGGGGAAUCACCUGAGGUCAGGAGUUCAAGACCAGCCUGGCCAACAUGGCAAAACCCCAUCUCUACUGAAAAUACAAAAAUUAGCCAGGACUGUUGGUGUGCACCUGUAAUCCCAGCUACUCCAGAGGCUGAGGCAGGAGAAUUGGGAGGUGGAGGUUGCAGUGAGCCGAGAUCGCACUACUACACUCCAGCGUGGGCAACAGAGUGAGACUCCCUUUCAAAAAAAAGAAAAAAGAAAAAAGUGUAUAUUA